rnacentral:rRNA from 1 species
GACGAACGCUGGCGGCGUGCCUAAUACAUGCAAGUCGAGCGGACUUACAAAGCUUGCUUUUUAAGUUAGAGGCGGACGGGUGAGUAACACGUGGGCAACCUGCCUGUAUGACUGGGAUAACUUCGGUAAACCGGAGCUAUUACCGGAUAAUCCUCUUCCACUCAUGUAGAAAGGCUGAAAGACGGUUUAUGCUGUCACUUACAGAUGGCCCCGCGGCGCCUUAGCUAGUUGGUGAGGUAACGCCUCACCGAGGCGACGAAGCGUAGCCGACCUGAGAGGGUGAUCGCCCACACGGGGACGGAGACACGGCCAAGACGCCUGCGGGAGGCAGCAGUAGGGAAUCUUCCGCAAUAGUCGGAAGUCUGGCGGAGUGACGCCGCGUGAGUUGUGAAGGUUUUCGGAGCGUAAAGCUCUGUUGUUAGUGAAGAACAAGUACGAGAGUAACUGCUCGGACCUUGACGGUACCUAACCAGAAAGCCACGGCUAACUACGUG